UACGUAGGGCGCAAGCGUUAUCCGGAAUUAUUGGGCGUAAAGAGCUCGUAGGCGGUUUGUCGCGUCUGCCGUGAAAGUCCGGGGCUCAACUCUGGAUCUGCGGUGGGUACGGGCAGACUAGAGUGAUGUAGGGGAGACUGGAAUUCCUGGUGUAGCGGUGAAAUGCGCAGAUAUCAGGAGGAACACCGAUGGCGAAGGCAGGUCUCUGGGCAUUAACUGACACUGAGGGACGAAAGCUAGGGGAGCGAAUGGG
rnacentral:rRNA from 1 species